CCAUCCAUAUUCCUUCUAGUUUGUGACAAAUGCAGUAAGUUGUUUUUCACACAUCGCAAUACGUUUAGCUGUUUAGUAUGUGGAUAUAGGGGGGAACUUGCUUUAUACAUAUUUUUUCUUGCAACAGUAAAACAUGUCGCUGAUGCAUGAUAUUGAAAUGAUAAAAUGGAAGUCCGAGGAAGCGUUGCUGCUGUUGUGUAAUCAAUCUUUCUAUACUCAGCAUGUUUUUAUACGCGGCACAGGUACUCGAGACAUUAUUGUCCCCCGGAACAAAGUCGAGAUGUAGUUCCACUUGAUUGCUUUUGUGUGUAGGUAGUGCCACUUGAUUGCUUUUGUGAACUGGGAAUUUGCUUUCUCAUAAAUAACUCUUAUAUAUAAAGAAUGGACUUGCCUCUUAUAUUGAAUAACAAUAUACAUAUUUUUAUAGUAAGCAUAAAAAAGGUGUUGAAACGGUGAAAUUAAAAGAAGUGUUGCGCGAGUUGGAUUCGAACUAUGACAACGAGCGGAACCCCUGCAACGCACUUGUUUUAUCACCCGGGUCAAGCCGCUUGAUACUUCCGGAAGCGGAAGAACGUUGGUGGAGGUAGUGUGCCGUACAUUGUACGGUCUGGGGAGGCAUACCUAAACAAGGAAGAACUCCAUUGGUGAAAAGCUUACAGUCGAGAAGUUUUAGCAGAAUUUGAUGCAGUUUCCAGCGAAGAUAUAUAGACGACCUCUUUUCCACCAACGAUUAUCACUCCAACGUCACUCCAGCGAUUACCACUCCAACGUCACUCCAGCGAUUAUCACUCCAACGUCACUCCAGCGAUUAUCACUCCAACGUCACUCCAGCGAUUAUCACUCCAACGUCACUCCAGCGAUUACCACUCCAACGUCACUCCAGCAAUUAGCACCCCAACGUCACUCUAGCGAUUAUCACUCCAAGAAAAAAAAUGAAUAAAGAGCCCUUACUGAAGCAAAUUCCGAAAACAAGCAAAUUUCUAAAGGAUUUUAAAAAAAAAAAACUCAGACAAAAAAAAAAAUUACGGGAGAACCGACAGUCAGAUUCAACAAACUGCCACACAAAAUGGGGUGUUAAAUCAUUCAAGUAAGUCCAAUAAUUAUAUUCCUGUGAAAUUAGAAAUUCCUUGAAUAAAUGUAUGCUUGUACUUAAAAUCUAUUGUAACACAUGAUCAUUUUAUGAAUGGUUUGUGUUAACAAGAAAUUUGGUAUAUUCAAUUAUUCUCAACUACAUUAUACCUUGAUUAAAAUAUUGUUUUAAAAUGGGGUACCGAAACUUUUAGAGCAGAAAUUAAAUUUUUCCACCAUUGAUGGACUCGAAAUUGUGCAAACGUUAUGCAAAAGAGCUACCAAAAAUUACACUGUAGCUUCAUAUGAUGGGAUUGGGUAAUUUAUCACAAAAACACAAUGAAAAAUAUAGGCACGACAAUGAACAGACACCUCAGGGAGGUUGUGGCUAAAUUUCAGAGCAAUACCUGUGACCAUACCAAAAAAAUCUGGGAAAACUACUUGACCUACUUCUACCGCUAAAGUAGGUCAUAGUGUGCCAAUCCAGCUGAAAUGCUAACUGCACUUCUAUACCACCGAGUGGAAACCUUUGACUAAAUAUCAAGACAAUGUCUGUAAUCGUAAAGAGAAAAAAAGCUUCGAAAACUGUUUGACCUAUUUUUAGCCCAAACGUAGGUCAAGGGUGGACUAAUCCAGCUGAAAUGCAAACUGAAAUUGUAUUCCUCCAAGAGGAAGCUUGUGACUAUAUUUCAAUGCAAUAUCUGUAUUCGUAAUGAAAGAGCCUGGAAAACUGAUUAACCUAUUUCCAGCCCAAAGUAAGUCAAGGAUGAACCAAUCCAGUUGAAAUGCAAAUUGAACUUGUAUUUCUCCAAGAGGAAGCCUGUGACUAUAUUUCAGCGCAAUAUCUGUAUUCAUAAUCAAGACAAAACAUGGAAAACUGUUUAAAGAUCUUUUUUGCAAAAAAGUAGGUCAAGGACGGACAAAUCAAGCUGAAAUACAAACCGAACUUGCAAUCCUCCAAGAGAAAGCCUGUGAUUUUUCAGGGCAAUUUUGUAGCCCAAAAUAAGGUCAAGGGUGCGCCAAUCCAGCUGAAAGGCAAAAUGAAGUUCAUAUUCCUCCAAAGGGAAGCCUGUGACUAGAUUUGAGGGCAAUAUCUAUAUCUAUAAUGAAAAAAGCCAGGAAAACUGUUUGACUUACUUUUAGACCUAAUGUACAAUUGUAGGUCACGGACGGACGGGCAAUCCAGCUGAAAUGCAAACUUGUAUUCUUCUGACAGGAAACUUAUGUGUAAAUUUCAGGGCAAUAUCUGUAUCACCAUUUCCAUUGAAUAUAAAAUGUUCGAAACACUG